GACGAACGCUGGCGGCGUGCUUAACACAUGCAAGUCGAACGCUGAAGCACCUAGCUUGCUGGGUGUGGAUGAGUGGCGAACGGGUGAGUAACACGUGAGUAACCUGCCCCUGACUUCGGGAUAAGCCUGGGAAACUGGGUCUAAUACCGGAUAUGACUACUGGCCGCAUGGUCUGGUGGUGGAAAGGGUUUUACUGGUUGGGGAUGGACUCGCGGCCUAUCGGUUUGUUGGUGGGGUAGUGGCCAACCAAGACGACGACGGGUAGCCGGCCUGGGAGGGCGACCGGCCACACUGGGACUGAGACACGGCCCAGACUCCUACGGGAGGCAGCAGUGGGGAAUAUUGCACAAUGGGGGGAACCCUGAUGCAGCGACGCCGCGUGCGGGAUGACGGCCUUCGGGUUGUAAACCGCUUUCAGUAGGGAAGAAGCGAAAGUGACGGUACCUGCAGAAGAAGUACCGGCUAACUACGUGCCAGCAGCCGCGGUAACAC
rnacentral:rRNA from 1 species